AAGUCGUAACAAGGUUUCCGUAGGUGAACCUGCGGAAGGAUCAUUACAGAACGAAAAGGUGGCGAGACUGUCGCUGGCUUGAAUGAGCAUGUGCACGUCUUGUUGCUCCUUAUUUCAUUCUCUUUUCCACCUGUGCAUUUUUUGUAGACAUUCGGGAUGGGGAGGUUGGUUUCUGACCUCUUGAAAAAGUCUGGAUGCCUAUGCAUUUUCUAUAUACACAGUUGCAUGUCUAUAGAAUGAGAUUAUAGGCUUGUCAGCCUUUAAAUGAUAAAAUAUAACUUUCAACAACGGAUCUCUUGGCUCUC
rnacentral:misc_RNA from 1 species